GAUGAACGCUGGCGGCGUGCUUAACACAUGCAAGUCGAACGAUGAAGCCCAGCUUGCUGGGUGGAUUAGUGGCGAACGGGUGAGUAACACGUGAGUAACCUGCCCUUAACUCUGGGAUAAGCCUCGGAAACUGGGUCUAAUACCGGAUAGGAGCGUCCACCGCAUGGUGGGUGUUGGAAAGAUUUAUCGGUUUUGGAUGGACUCGCGGCCUAUCAGCUUGUUGGUGAGGUAAUGGCUCACCAAGGCGACGACGGGUAGCCGGCCUGAGAGGGUGACCGGCCACCCUGGGACUGAGACACGGCCCAGACUCCUACGGGAGGCAGCAGUGGGGAAUAUUGCACAAUGGGCGCAAGCCUGAUGCAGCGACGCCGCGUGAGGGAUGACGGCCUUCGGGUUGUAAACCUCUUUCAGUAGGGAAGAAGCGAAAGUGACGGUACCUGCAGAAGAAGCACCGGCUAACUACGUG
rnacentral:rRNA from 1 species